ACUCAACAACAAGGUUUAAAUUCGAACUUAGAUUGUUCAUCAGCCGAGGUGAUCUUAAAAGUGUGUAGUGUGCUUUGAUUUUAGUUAGGAAAAAUAAUAGUAGUGGUAUGGUAUCAAUUCGACUAGCUUGUUUCGCGGUUAAAAGUGGACCGAAAUGGGCCAAUCCGUUCUUCCUUCGGCCGCGCGGGAUUUGUCCAUGGGCCGCUUGUUACCAACCCACUUCACUUCAUAGACCUCAGUGACCCGAAAAUGAAUGAAACAAAUCAAACAAUGACGAUUUCAGAAAUUGAAGGCUUUGAAGCAGUGUGUAGAGGCAGUAGAGACGAAGGCAGAAAGGGAGAGAGAAAGAGCAAUCGACAUCCACAAGUUUUGAUUUGAUCUUUAUUCUUGGAUUUCCUCUUGUCAUUUUCAACUGUUCUGACCUUCAAAAGUUGUGCUUUAUUUGGAAUUCUUGUGCAAUUCAUGGGGGUUGUUUUCUCUAUUUCUAUGGCAUCGAUAAGAUUCGUGUGCUUAUCUAUGGAUCAAAGAUUCACAGUAUAGUCAUCAGUAACAAAGUCAGGAAAUCAUUCUUUGUUGCCUUGUUGGUCUAAGUAAUCCCCCCCUUUUGGUCCGUGUGAAAUCUUGCACACUACUUGUUCGAUAAUUGGUCAUAGUAAAGUUUAAUGUUCUGGCUACAACGACAAUGUCUUGGAUCACACCCAUUUGGAAAAUCAAGUUAUAUGAGGGUCUCAAUAAUGCACAAGACCGGCGGAGGGAGUAGACCCAAGAAGAAAAUCUACUCCAGAGUCCAUGAACUUGACAGAGCCAUUGAUCUUCAAAAGAAACCAUCCCUAAUAUUGCAGCUCAAGUCUAUCAUUCAAGCACAGAAAACCCAGUCUCUCCUCCUCAGAGACCUUGAAAAGGAAGUUGGGUUUGUUCAGAAAUGGAAUUUCAUGGCUGCUAUUGAGAAGUACCCUACAAUCUUUCAUGUUGAUGGUGGAAAUGGAACACCUCCCGCGGUUACGCUGACAAAUAAAGCACAAAAGAUUGCUGCUGAAGAAAUUAACGCUAGGCAGCUAAUGGAACCCAUUUUGGUUAAGAACCUAAGGAAGUUGCUGAUGUUGUCUAUUGAUUGUCGGCUUCCCCUUGAAACUGUUGAAUUUAUUCGAUCCGCUAUGGGCUUGCCUUGCGACUUUAAGACAUCUAUGAUUGCUAGAUACCCAGAGUAUUUCUCUGUGAAAGAUGUUAAUGGGAGAGGGUAUCUUUGGCUAGAAAAUUGGGAUUCAACUCUUGCAGUAACGGCUAGGGAGGAGAGAUUGGCGUGCGAAGGGAUUUUGGACUCCAUUGAACGAGCAGGAAAGGUUAGAAUCUCGAAAGAUGGUAACUUUCUGGGUCGUUUUGCUUUUCAGUUGAGUUUUCCUGCUGGUUUUAGACCAAACAAGAGUUAUCUUGAAGAAGUCCAGAAGUGGCAGAAAAUGGAAUUUCCUUCUCCAUUCUUGAACGCGAGGAGAUUUGAAUCUGCUGAUCCGAAGGCUCGAAAAAGAAUUGUGGCAGUGCUUCACGAGCUCCUAAGUUUGACCAUGGAGAAGAGGAUGACAACUGCUCAACUGGAAGCAUUUCAUUCGGAGUAUCGGUUGCCUGCUAGAUUGUUGCUGUGCUUAAUCAAGCAUCAUGGUAUUUUUUACAUCACCAAUAAAGGUGCAAAGAGUACUGUUCUCCUUAAAGAGGCUUAUGAUGGAUCAAAUUUGAUUGACAAAUGUCCUCUAUUGGUUUUUCAAGAUAAGUUUGCUGCACUUACUGGUAGGAGAGAUACUGAUUAUUUUUUGGGGGGGAUGCCUUCUUAAGUUUUGAUGUGUCCAUGCCCGCACCUGAGUGAUUUGUCUAUUUUCUUCUUUCGAAUUGGAGUAUUGCUUAAGCAUGUGAGUAGGAGUAUUACUUAAGAACGGGAGGAGGUCCAGCAGCCAUUUCCUUCUCUGUACUUGAAUGCAAGGAGAUUUGAAUCUGCUUAUCCAAAAGCUCGAAAAAGAAUUGUAGCAGUGCUUCACAAGCUCCAAGUGUAACUAUGGAAAAGAUGCUGACAUCUGCUCAACUGGAAGCAUUUCAUUCGGAGUAUCGGUUGCCUGCUAGAUUGUUGCUUUGCUUAAUCAAGCAUCAUGGUAUUUUUUUACAUCACUAAUAAAGGUGCAAAGAUUACUGUACUCCUUAAAGAGGCUUAUGAUGGGUCAAAUUUGAUUGACAAAUGUCCUCUGAUUAUGGUAUUGGGAUGCCAUCAUAGAUUUUUAAGUGAAUAUUCUGUCCUUCUUGAAGUUCAUACAUCUAUCAUUGGCCUUGUCAUAUAAUAUCUUAUCCAUUGAAUCGAAAAGAUCUUGGUAACAUUCAAAGAUUCAUGUUGUUAGUCCUGUAUUUAGUUCUCGUUCCUAUUCUUAUCUUUUGUUUGCUUUAGUAACUAUAGUCACUCUUGUUUCCUUACAGUUUUUCCAUUCAUAAGACUCUGUCUAUCAUUUCGGAUUCGACUUGAAAUGCUAAAAGGAUCUUAGUUACAUUAUACAUGUAGAUUGUGAUAAUGUUGUGACAUACCAUCCGACCUAAUUUAUGUACUUUUUUUGGUGUGACGAGACGAAUCUGAGUCUUAUGCGAUCAACCAAAGUAACUUAAAAAGCAUAGCCCCUUGUCCCCUUCGGCCGGCUCCAGUUGGAGAUCCCAAAUGGUUUGGGGUGAUUCCGCCCAGUCGCCCACAGCCUAACACCAGUGUGCCCUGUUUUUUUUUUUUUUUAUCAAGCCAGUGUGACCUGUUGGAUAAUGAAAAAUUUACCCUGAUUUGUGUUGCAGUAACUUGAUGUUUGUGGGAUAUCAAAGGAUCUGCAAUAGAUAUGUUUGGACAAAUUGUCGCAAUCUGCUGAUACAUCACCCUAUAUCCAACAAAGAGGUGCACAUGAGGAUUCACUCUCCACUAACAAAAGGGACCACAAAAGCUGUGAAGGAAAUGUUAGUCGCUCCAACAAGUAAUGGACUCUAGCUUCACCAAACCUCUUUAUUAGUCAUAAGGCCAGAAUAUAUCUUCUUGAAUGCUUGUCUCCUUUAGCAUCAUGAAAAAUGCCUUUCUUCCUAAAGUGGAUAAUGUCCUUAUAUGUUAUUUAUUUGCAGUUCAUUGUCAGAGAUGUUAGAUUGAACAUGGAAGAGUUGGCUUUAUCUCAUGAAGACCCAUCUGGGUUGUCAUUGUAUUAGGUUUCUAUAAUGUCAUAAAAACAGCUCUAUUAGGUGGUUGAAUAGCACAAUCUAGUUUAUCAUAAAAGACACAGGCUAGCCCCUAAUGAUACGUAAGUUUUAC